rnacentral:rRNA from 1 species
GUAAGGCCUUUCGGGGUACACGACGCGGCGAACGGGUGAGUAACACGUGGUUGAUCUGCCCUGCACUUCGGGAUAAGCCUGGGAAACUGGGUCUAAUACCGGAUAUGACCUCCGAUCGCAUGCCGGGGGGUGGAAAGAUUUAUCGGUGCAGGAUGGGCCCGCGGCCUAUCAGCUUGUUGGUGGGGUAAUGGCCUACCAAGGCGACGACGGGUAGCCGACCUGAGAGGAUGACCGUCCACACUGGGACUGAGACACGGCCCAACUAUAUACGGGUGGCAGGUGUGGGGAAUAUUGCACAAUGGGCGAAAGCCGGAUGCAGCGACCCCGCGUUAGGGAUGACGGCCUUCGGGUUGGAAACUUCUUU